rnacentral:hammerhead_ribozyme from 1 species
AUCCAGCUGACGAGUCCGAAAUAGGACGAAACGCA